AGCUUUGCGCAGCGGCAGUAUCAGAGCCAAUGAGGUUUAUCUGAGGCGCGAUGAUUGCUAAUCGAAAACGCAAAUGAUCCUGCCAAAAAAUAAAAAUAAAUGUGUGCGUGUAUGAGAUGUAUGUGGAGAG
ensembl:snRNA U4 U4 spliceosomal RNA